rnacentral:rRNA from 1 species
AACGAACGCUGGCGGCAGGCCUAACACAUGCAAGUCGAACGCCGUAGCAAUACGGAGUGGCAGACGGGUGAGUAACACGUGGGAACAUACCCUUCGGUUCGGAAUAACUCAGGGAAACUUGAGCUAAUACCGGAUACGUCCGCGAGGAGAAAGAUUCAUCGCCGGAGGAUUGGCCCGCGUCUGAUUAGCUUGUUGGUGAGGUAACGGCUCACCAAGGCGACGAUCAGUAGCGGUCUGAGAGGAUGAUCAGCCACAUUGGGACUGAGACACGGCCCAGACUCCUACGGGAGGCAGCAGUGGGGAAGUAUUGGACAAUGGGCGAAAGCCUGAUCCAGCAAUGCCGCGUGAGUGAUGAAGGCCUUAGGGUUGUAAAG